GUGGGGAAUAUUGGACAAUGGGGGGAACCCUGAUCCAGCCAUGCCGCGUGUGUGAAGAAGGCCUUUUGGUUGUAAAGCACUUUAAGUGGGGAGGAGGCUUACCUGGUUAAUACCUGGGCUAAGUGGACGUUACCCACAGAAUAAGCACCGGCUAACUCUGUGCCAGCAGCCGCGGUAAUACAGAGGGUGCGAGCGUUAAUCGGAUUUACUGGGCGUACAGCGCGCGUAGGUGGUUAAUUAAGUCAAAUGUGAAAUCCCCGAACUUAACUUGGAAAUUGCAUUCGAUACUGGUUAGCUAGAGUAUGGGAGAGGAUGGUAGAAUUCCAGGUGUAGCGGUGAAAUGCGUAGAGAUCUGGAGGAAUACCGAUGGCGAAGGCAGCCAUCUGGCCUAAUACUGACACUGAGGUGCGAAAGCAUGGGGAGCAAACAGGAUUAGAUACCCGAGUAGUCC
rnacentral:rRNA from 1 species